CCUGGGUAUGGUGGCCCAUACCUGUAGUCCCAGCUACUCAGGAGGCUGAGGCAGGAGGAUCACUUGAGCCCAGGAGUUUGAGGCUGCAGUGAUCUAUGAUUGUGCCACUGCACUCCAGCCUGGGCAAGAGAGCAAGAUCCUGUCUCUA
rnacentral:SRP_RNA from 1 species